GGUAAAGUGAAUUUCCCAUAUACUGAGCUCUUAGGAGGGAUAGCUUUACAAUGAUGCUAAUACUGGCUGUGUGAUAGCUUUGUUCAGAGCUUACUGUGGACCUGAAUAUGAUAGGUUUGGCACUAAAGGAGAUGCAGCCUGGCAAGCUGUGGGCUAAAGCCCUGCAGGGGUCCAGGCAGCUGAAGCACACUUUAAGAUGGCAUACUGUGCGUGGAAGCUUGGGCUCUGUGAGGCUGAUACUCACCUUACCUAAACAGAGGUGGGGUUACAAGGAGCCCAAUGUCUGACUGGGGAGGGAGAGGCUGCUCCUGCAUCCUGGCAGUUGUGCAAGCUGGGACAGGCUGUGCUUGGCAUUCCUGUCAUGGAGGAGCAGACACAGGUGAUGAUGUCCGGAUGGCCCACAAGUCCUGUCCUGAGCAGUGGGGUGUGAAUUCCAGACUGAUGUGUGAUCCCAGGAGCCGUCUGUCGAGAGGGAGCACGAGCUGCGGUGUGGUUUGAAAGCAGAUGCGGGGAAGCUGAAUGCAGUGUUAGUGGCAGCAUCGGAGCCCUGCGGGGAAGGAAGAGGAGAACGGCGUCAGCGGGGGGUCCGCUGGGGCGGCAUUCCUUCUUUCCGGAGGGGAGGGCCCUUCCAGCGGGAGCGACGAGCGGGG
ensembl:lncRNA